rnacentral:rRNA from 1 species
CUCAACGGAUAAAAGCUACCCUGGGGAUAACAGGCUUAUCUCCCCCAAGAGUCCACAUCGACGGGGAGGUUUGGCACCUCGAUGUCGGCUCAUCGCAUCCUGGGGCUGUAGUCGGUCCCAAGGGUUGGGCUGUUCGCCCAUUAAAGCGGUACGCGAGCUGGGUUCAGAACGUCGUGAGACAGUUCGGUCCCUAUCCGUCGCGGGCGUAGGAAAUUUGAGAGGACCUGUCCUUAGUACGAGAGGACCGGGAUGGACAUACCGCUGGUGUACCAGUUGUUCCGCCAGGAGCACCGCUGGGUAGCUAUGUAUGGACGAGAUAAACGCUGAAAGCAUCUAAGUGUGAAACUCGCCUCGAGAUGAGAUUUCCCAUUUCCUUCGGGAAAGUAAGACCCCUCAGAGAUGAUGAGGUAG